rnacentral:rRNA from 1 species
CGGGGUGUCAGUGCGGGUAAGUGGCAUGGAAAUGCUCACCGUGGAGGGUGAAAGUCCCGUCCAACCUGCACAGGACACGCCGUACCAGGACGUUUCAGGCGAGUCGGGUAGCUUGGGAAUGCUGCUCUAAUUGGUGGUAAAUCUCAUCAAAGGCUAAAUAACGGUGGGAGACCGAUAGCGAACAAGUACCGUGAGGGAAAGAUGACAAGCACUUUGAAAAGAGGGUGAAAAGAGCCUGAAACCGUUACGGGGGAAGCGGAUUGCGUUGGAUUGACGGGCGCCAGUGUGUUCAGCCUUUUAGGUGUAUUGACAUUGGUGCUUAUCUGCUGUGGGUUUUCGACGACUGAUUUUGAGUCGUUGGAGGCUGAGGGCUCCAUUUUAUAUGUGAAGGACAGCAGAGCGACGACGCGAUACGACCCGUCUUGAAACACGGACCAAGGAGUCUAGCGCGGGUGCGAGUCGGAGGGUGCAAGCCCGUGGGCGAAGUGAAAGCAAGUGUAAAAACGAGCAGUUUGGGGCGGCACGGAAUCGCUGAUUCCACGACCGACCCAGAGCAGUUGCGCUGGGACCCGAAAGAUGGUGAACUAUGCCGGAGUAGGGCAAAGCCAGAGGAAACUCUGGUGGAGGCUCGUAGCGGUGCUGACGUGCAAAUCGCUCGUCGAACUUGGGUAUAGGGGCGAAAGACUAAUCGAACCAUCUAGUAGCUGGUUCCCUCCGAAGUUUCUCUCAGGAUAGCGGGCCGACAUUCCAGUUGUUUUGUGCGGUAAAGCGAAUGAUUAGCGCAUUCGGGGGCAUUUGGCCUCUGGGCGAUUCUCAAACUUUCAAUGCGCAAGGGCGCCGCUGCUUGGUUGAGCGGCGCCGGAAAAAACGUCGGCCCUGUGGGCCACUUUUGGUAAGCAGAACUGGCGAUACGGGAUGAACCGUAAGCGCGGUUAA